rnacentral:tRNA from 1 species
GCCCGGGUGGCGAAAUUGGUAGACGCAGGGGAUUCAAAAUCCCCCGGUGGCAACACCGUGUCGGUUCGAGUCCGACCCCGGGCACCA